rnacentral:rRNA from 1 species
CACGUAGGGUGCGAGCGUUGUCCGGAAUUAUUGGGCGUAAAGAGCUCGUAGGCGGUGUGUCGCGUCGGCCGUGAAAACUUGCAGCUUAACUGUGGGCGUGCGGUCGAUACGGGCAUCACUGGAGUUCGGCAGGGGAGACUGGAAUUCCUGGUGUAGCGGUGAAAUGCGCAGAUAUCAGGAGGAACACCGGUGGCGAAGGCGGGUCUCUGGGCCGAUACUGACGCUGAGGAGCGAAGGCGUGGGGAGCGAACAGG